GGAAAAAAAAAAGUGGAGGGGAGGGAGGCAGCUGGAGCUAGAGGACAAGGACUGGGGGUGGGGUGGGGUGGGAGACCGGCCCAGGCUGGGGAAAGGGGCCAGUUUCUUGUCCUUUCCUCCUCGUCACCCUGCCAAGAAAGAGAUUCUCCAAUUCACAUAAGUUAUCAUCUGAACUACGAACAUAAAAUCACUACUGAAUUCAUUGAAGCUUUUGUGUUCAGGAUCUGUUACUUUCCUGCUGCAUGACCCUUGGGUGUGAAAGAGUCUUGGGUGAGCUCAGGCACUCGCAGGCGGCCCGAGGGCCGGCGGCAGCUGCAGC